UGACUACAUGUCCGAACGAGACACUUC
rnacentral:sRNA from 1 species